GAUUUGGGUGAAGAAGCUUGGUUGAGCCCGGCCUUGAAGGUUGAAUGAGCCAGGCUUGUUGUGCAUAUCAGGUGCGUGGGCCUUUGCAAGAUGGGCUUUUGGCUAUGAUCCAGGCCCUGGGCCAGGAUGGAGAAAUCCAGCGGUCAUCAAUUGCCCCUUCACCUUCUCGGUAGUUAUUGCCCCUACUGCCGAGGGGGUGAAUAUCAAGAACCAUUAUGACCGCGCCUGUUCGUGGUCAGGUGCCUUAAUAACAUCCUUUCAUCUUUCUGUCAUUGUGCAGUUUCCGAGUCCUAUCUGCUCUCUCCCUUUUCUGGCUUUUCUUCAUUCUUCGUGUUCUUUGCUGUCUUUGUUUUCCUGUCAUCAUUAUCUGGACAUGUCCUUUCUUUCCUUUUCCAUGACUAUCUUUUAAAAUUCUGACACCGUUAGCUUAGAGCAUAGCUCUGCUCCGUGCUAAGGUCUCAAGCUCUGGAUGUAUAUCAACGCUAGCUUUUCU
rnacentral:lncRNA from 1 species